AAUAGAUACCCAGGUAGUCCACGCCGUAAACGAUGAGUGCUAAGUGUUGGGGGGUUUCCGCCCCUCAGUGCUGCAGCUAACGCAUUAAGCACUCCGCCUGGGGAGUACGGUCGCAAGACUGAAACUCAAAGGAAUUGACGGGGGCCCGCACAAGCGGUGGAGCAUGCGGUUUAAUUCGAAGCAACGCGAAGAACCUUACCAGGUCUUGACAUCCCGGUGACCACUAUGGAGACAUAGUUUCCCCUUCGGGGGCAACGGUGACAGGUGGUGCAUGGUUGUCGUCAGCUCGUGUCGUGAGAUGUUGGGUUAAGUCCCGCAACGAGCGCAACCCUUAUUCUUAGUUGCCAUCAUUCAGUUGGGCACUCUAAGGAGACUGCCGGUGAUAAACCGGAGGAAGGUGGGGAUGACGUCAAAUCAUCAUGCCCCUUAUGACCUGGGCUACACACGUGCUACAAUGGACGGUACAAACGGUUGCCAACCCGCGAGGGGGAGCUAAUCCGAUAAAACCGUUCUCAGUUCGGAUUGUAGGCUGCAACUCGCCUAC
rnacentral:rRNA from 1 species